UCGGUUAUCCCGCCGGACCUGACUGCUAUCGGAUUGAUACUAAGCCAUGCGAGUCUUUGUAGUAAUACAAGGCAGACGGCUCAGUAACACGUAGUCAACCUACCCUAUGGACGAGAAUAAUCUCGGGAAACUGAGCAUAAUUCUUGAUAGAUCAUAAUGCCUGGAAUGGUUUAUGGUUAAAAUGAUUCGUCGCCAUAGGAUGGGACUGCGGCCUAUCAGCUUGUUGGUGAGGUAAUGGCCCACCAAGGCGAUUACAGGUACGGGCUCUGAGAGGAGAAGCCCGGAGAUGGGUACUGAGACACGGACCCAGGCCCUAUGGGGCGCAGCAGGCGAGAAAACUUUGCAAUGUGCGAAAGCACGACAAGGUUAAUCCGAGUGAUUUCUGCUAAAGAAAUCUUUUGCCAGUCGUAAAACCGCUGGUGAAUAAGGGGUGGGCAAGUUCUGGUGCCAGCAGCCGCGGUAAU
rnacentral:rRNA from 1 species